CAUUCUUCCUGCAGCUAAAGACAAAGAUUGGUACGAUAACACGAUGGCUGCUUGUAGGAUCCCUUUUUGUAUCUUUUACUAUUGGUCUUCCUUCCUACUGGGAUUUAUAUGAGAAGCCAACUGAAAUGGUCGAUUUAUCAGUAAAUGGAACACACUCAUUUUACCAAUUACAAAGCCGGUGUCAUUGCCUUGUUGUUGUGUAUAUGUCUGUCUCUU